UGUGGGGUUGUGCAGCGGUAGCACGAGAGUUCCAUAAGCUCUAUGUCGCGGGUUCGAAUCCCGCCCCCGCAA
rnacentral:tRNA from 1 species